CCUACGGGAGGCAGCAGUAGGGAAUAUUGCUCAAUGGGGGAAACCCUGAAGCAGCAACGCCGCGUGGAGGAUGAAGGUUUUCGGAUCGUAAACUCCUUUUGUUAGAGAAGAUAAUGACGGUACCUAACGAAUAAGCACCGGCUAACUCCGUGCCAGCAGCCGCGGUAAUACGGAGGGUGCAAGCGUUACUCGGAUUCACUGGGCGUAAAGAGCGCGUAGGCGGGAUAGCAAGUCAGAUGUGAAAUCCUAUGGCUUAACCAUAGAACUGCAUUUGAAACUGUUAUUCUAGAGUUUGGGAGAGGUAAGUGGAAUUCUUAGUGUAGCGGUAAAAUCCGUAGAGAUCAGGAGGAAUACUCAUGGCGAAGGCGACCUGCUGGAACGUAACUGACGCUGAUGCGCGAAAGCGUGGGUAUCAAACAGGAUUAGAUACCCCUGUAGUC
rnacentral:rRNA from 1 species